GUCCUAAACAACGAAUAUCACUAAACCCUUUAUCUUAUCAUUUUAUACCUUCAGCCAAAUAAAGUGUAAGAUGUUAGAACCUAGAAGGGAGGCAAACGCCAAACCUAACUUUUCUACAAGGUGAGUGAAAAACUGAAUACGUUUAAUUUUAAUAUGGCAAUAAGAAUUUGAUUUUUGUUUGAGCAAUAACUAAUAGAACCCAUUUUCAGUGAUGAAAUUUGAUGAACAAAUCCUUUGAACUAUUUGUUUGAAUCCAAUUAGAAGAUUUGUUUUUCUUUCAAGUACAUAUCCUCCUGGCUGACAUGUCAUAUUUCUGAUAAUUUUUUUUACAGGAAUAGUGAUUUUAUUGAGGUUAUUAUACAAAAUCAAACUGAAACUUCGAUGAAAUUAAUAGAGAAAAUAUGCAGCCAUGGGCAUGCACAAUCAAAAUUGAAUUGAACUACUACCUUUCUUUUUUUUCUUUUUCAUUUUUUUCCCUUUUUCCCUCAAAAACUGCUCUCACAUUGAAUUUCCAAUCCCUUUGUUACCCUUUCAUUUUUCUUUCUUUUGAGAGAUACCAAAAAAAAAAUUACAAGUGGAGACACUGGAGCCAACAGCUCACUAUUGAA
rnacentral:misc_RNA from 1 species